rnacentral:hammerhead_ribozyme from 1 species
GCAUUACUGAGGAGUCCCACAAAAGGACAAAACGGCCGUCCAGUGC